GCGGCGGACGGGUGAGUAACACGUGGACAAUCUGCCCCCCGGCCCGGGAUAGCCCAGGGGAAACCUGGAGUUAAUACCGGAUGAGACGGGACCUGCGAUGGCGGGAUCCGGGAAAGGCGCUACGGCGCCGCCGGGGGAUGAGUCUGCGUCCCAUUAGCUAGACGGCGGGGUAACGGCCCACCGUGGCGACGAUGGGUAGCCGGCCUGAGAGGGUGGACGGCCACAUUGGAACUGAGACACGGUCCAGACUCCUACGGGAGGCAGCAGCUAAGAAUCUUCCGCAAUGGGCGAAAGCCUGACGGAGCGACGCCGCGUGAACAAAGAAGGCCGUGAGGUUGUAAAGUUCUUUUCGGGAGGGGGAACAACCGUGGCAGGGAAUGGCCGCGGGAUGACGUGAAUCCCGGAAUAAGCCCCGGCUAACUACGUGCCAGCCGCCGC
rnacentral:rRNA from 1 species